rnacentral:rRNA from 1 species
AGAGUUUGAUCCUGGCUCAGGACGAACGCUGGCGGCGUGCCUAAUACAUGCAAGUAGAACGCUGAAGACUUUAGCUUGCUAAAGUAGGAAGAGUGCGAACGGGUGAGUAACGCGUAGGUAACCUGCCUACUAGCGGGGGAUAACUAUUGGAAACGAUAGCUAAUACCGCAUAACAGCAUUUAACCCAUGUUAGAUGCUUGAAAGGAGCAAUUGCUUCACUAGUAGAUGGACCUGCGUUGUAUUAGCUAGUUGGUGAGGUAACGGCUCACCAAGGCGACGAUACAUAGCCGACCUGAGAGGGUGAUCGGCCACACUGGGACUGAGACACGGCCCAGACUCCUACGGGAGGCAGCAGUAGGGAAUCUUCGGCAAUGGGGGCAACCCUGACCGAGCAACGCCGCGUGAGUGAAGAAGGUUUUCGGAUCGUAAAGCUCUGUAGUAAGAGAAGAACGUGUGUGAGAGUGGAAAGUUCACACAGUGACGGUAACUUACCAGAGAGGGACGGCUAACUACGUGCCAGCAGCCGCGGUAAUAC